CCUGCGACUCUACAGAAUGAAGUUUUGGGAAACUUUGAGCAUCGUAAAAGGGUGGAAAGUACAGAUUUAUAACGAUGGCUAAAUCUAUGCCCUGGUGAACCACAGCAAUGUUAGCAUCGGCUAACUAGUGCUGGAUUUCUCAAUGCAAGGCACGAAUGGAGUUCAGGAGCCUUAUCUUGCUUGGCAGAAGCAGCUGAUGUGGGGAAGACUACCCGUCCUGUGACAUAAACAGCAUGUCAGACAGGUUACCAGCAAACAAUCCUUUCAGGAUUGUAAACAGAGCUUUAAUUCAAGGCAACACGGCUAAAGGAGGCAUUUCUAACAACAUCUCAGUUACUUCCAGUCAAGCAAUACCGGUUUUGAACGAAGCGCAAAUUGAACAUAACAAGGGCAUCGAAGGAAAUAUUUCAAACAACAUAGAAGGAACUGCUCAUGUUGAAAACGGGCCAAGAAUUCUACAAAAUGAAGUGGACGGUGUUGUAACCAACAAUAUAACAGACUGAUACUUAGUCUGCAUCAACAGAACGAAUGGCAGGCAGGGAAAAUAAAGCAUAUACGUGUAAUAUAUCAGCAUCUGGGGGUUCGACUGUUCAUCGGCCUACUCUUCUUGACAACCGGGAGCGAGGAGAUAUUCAAUGCCCAGUGAAAACGAAUAAACCACAAACCACAGGCAGCAAAGGCAGAGGUCAAGCCAGCCCUCACACAACCUCUAGCACUGAUGGGAGUCAGACCACUAAAACAAUGAAGGGACAAGGAUACAACUCCAGAGUAUCAGCAACUGAUGGGGAAUUUGUGAACCGUCCAUUUAUGUCGGGAAACCAUGUGGGAGGUGGCAUUCAUUGCCCAAUCACCAUCACAGGGCAGGGGGAGGGCCAAAAGGUGAGACAUGAGCCACAGAUCUUCAACAACAAAGUGGGAGGUGAAAUCAACAUCGACAUAAAUGAGGGAACACUGGCUAAUUGAGGAAGAACAAGUGUUCAUCUGUAACGGAGGCCAACUAGCAGAGUGUGGCAUGGAACGUUAGCAAACCUCCCUCCCGAAGCCUAAAAGACUAUGGGUAGCAUUGGGCUAUUGGACUGGUCCUUUAGUCUAGCGGUAUCGUGCUGUGACACCCAAACUGAUGCAUUGACAUUACACAUCAUGUGAAAAGAUAUUCUGUUUGCAGUUCACAAAACAGCAUACUGUAGACUCUCACACAAUCAUCCGGUGUUGAUCAUUGUCAGCCACUUAAUCAGAAUAUCUUUUAUUUG